CUACGGGUCGCACCAGUGAGGAAUAUUGGGCAAUGGGCGAAAGCCUGACCCAGCAACGCCGCGUGGAGGAUGAAUGUCGUGAGAUUGUAAACUCCUGUUAGAGGGGAAGAAUAAUCCCGAUCAAAUCGGGACAUGACUGUACCCUCAGAGAAAGCUCCGGCUAACUACGUGCCAGCAGCCGCGGUAAUACGUAGGGAGCAAGCGUUGUCCGGAUUUACUGGGUGUAAAGGGCGCGCAGGCGGGUCAAUAAGUCAGAGGUGAAAUCCUACAGCUCAACUGUAGAACUGCCUUUGAUACUGUUGAUCUUGAGUAUGGAAGAGAGAGACGGAAUUCCAGGUGUAGUGGUGAAAUACGUAGAUAUCUGGAAGAACACCAGUUGCGAAGGCGGUCUCUUGGUCCAAUACUGACGCCGAGGCGCGAAAGCGUGGGUAGCAAACAGGAUUAGAUACCCGUGUAGUC
rnacentral:rRNA from 1 species